rnacentral:rRNA from 1 species
AAGUCGUAACAAGGUCUCCGUUGGUGAACCAGCGGAGGGAUCAUUACUGAGUACUACACUCUCUACCCUUUGUGAACUAUUAUACCUGUUGCUUCGGCGGCGCCCGCAAGGGUGCCCGCCGGUCUCAUCAGAAUCUCUGUUUUCGAACCCGACGAUACUUCUGAGUGUUCUUAGCGAACUGUCAAAACUUUUAACAACGGAUCUCUUGGCUCCAGCAUCGAUGAAGAACGCAGCGAAACGCGAUAUGUAAUGUGAAUUGCAGAAUUCAGUGAAUCAUCGAAUCUUUGAACGCACAUGGCGCCUUCCAGUAUCCUGGGAGGCAUGCCUGUCCGAGCGUCGUUUCAACCCUCGAGCCCCUGUGGCCCGGCGUUGGGGAUCUGCCACGGCAGGCCCCUAAAACCAGUGGCGGACCCGAAGGGCCCUCUCCUUUGCGCAGUAGCAAUCGCCUCGCAUCGGGAGUCCUCGGCGUCCUGCCUCUAAACCCCCCACAAGCCCGCUUCGGCGGCACCAAGGUUGACCUCGGAUCAGGUAGGAAUACCCGCUGAACUUAA